rnacentral:rRNA from 1 species
UACGUAGGGGGCAAGCGUUGUUCGGAUUUAUUGGGCGUAAAGGGCAUGUAGGCUGUUAUCUAAGUGUGGGUUUAAAGGCAGAAGCUUAACUUCUUGUUUGGUCUGCAAACUGGAUAACUAGAGUGCAGGAGGGGAAACUGGAAUUCCGCGUGUAGGGGUGAAAUCUGUAGAGAUGCGGAAGAAUACCUGUGGCGAAAGCGAGUUUCUGGCCUGCUACUGACGCUGAUAUGCGAAAGUGUGGGGAG